GAUGAACGCUGGCGGCGUGCCUAAUACAUGCAAGUCGAGCGAACAGACGAGGAGCUUGCUCCUCUGACGUUAGCGGCGGACGUGUGAGUAACACGUGUAUAACCUACCUAUAAGACUGGGAUAACUUCGGGAAACCGGAGCUAAUACCGUAUAAUAUAUUGAACCGCAUGGUUCAAUAGUGAAAUACGGUUUUGCUGUCACUUAUAGAUGGAUCCGCGCCGCAUUAGCUAGUUGGUAAGGUAACGGCUUACCAAGGCGACGAUGCGUAGCCGAACUGAGAGGGGGAUAGGCCACACUGGAACUGAGACACGGUCAAGACUACUACGGGAGGCAGCAGUAGGGAAUCUUACGCAAUGGGCGAAAGCAUGACGGAGCAACGCCGAGUGAGUGAUGAAGGUCUUCGGAUCGUAAAACUCUGUUAUUAGGGAAGAACAAAUGUGUAAGUAACUAUGCACGUCGUGACGGUAACUAAUCAGAAAGCCACGGCUAACUACGUG
rnacentral:rRNA from 1 species